rnacentral:rRNA from 1 species
UGGGGAAUAUUGCACAAUGGGCGCAAGCCUGAUGCAGCCAUGCCGCGUGUGUGAAGAAGGCCUUCGGGUUGUAAAGCACUUUCAGCGGGGAGGAAGGCAAUGCGGUUAAUAACCGUGUUGAUUGACGUUACCCGCAGAAGAAGCACCGGCUAACUCCGUGCCAGCAGCCGCGGUAAUACGGAGGGUGCAAGCGUUAAUCGGAAUUACUGGGCGUAAAGCGCACGCAGGCGGUCUGUCAAGUCGGAUGUGAAAUCCCCGGGCCCAACCUGGGAACUGCAUUCGAAACUGGCAGGCUUGAGUCUUGUAGAGGGGGGUAGAAUUCCAGUGUAGCGGUGAAAUGCGUAGAGAUCUGGAGGAAUACCGGUGGCGAAGGCGGCCCCUUGGACAAAGACUGACGCUCAGGUGCGAAAGCGUGGGGAGCAAACA